rnacentral:rRNA from 1 species
UACGUAGGGGGCAAGCGUUGUCCGGAUUUACUGGGCGUAAAGAGCGUGUAGGCGGCCAGGCAGGUCUGUUGUGAAAACUGGAGGCUCAACUUCCAGACGUCGACAGAAACUGCUUGGCUAGAGUCCGGAAGAGGAGAGUGGAAUUCCUGGUGUAGCGGUGAAAUGCGCAGAUAUCAGGAAGAACACCGAUGGCGAAGGCAGCUCUCUGGGACGGUACUGACGCUGAGACGCGAAAGCGUGGGGAGCGAACAGG